AAUCACAAUCAUCAAGGACACAAAAGUCCCUAACGCCUGCCUCUUCAUGUUGAACUAAGAGGAUCACACACUUGGCAACAUCAUCAGACAACAACUUCUGAAGGACCCCCAGGUGCUCUUUGCUGGCUAUAAGGUCCCUCAUCCUCUGGAGCACAAGAUUGUGAUCCGUGUUCAGACUACACCAGACUACAGUCCUCAGGAGGCUUUCACUAAUGCCAUCACUGACCUCAUCAGUGAGCUGUCCUUGUUGGAGGAGAGAUUUAGGGUUUCAGGUUGUUUCAGGUUAAGGACAAGCAAGAAGGAAUUGAAUGAGGAUUGGUGCAUAAUGUUGGGAAAGAGGAUGUCACUUUGAAGAGUUCUCAAUAUCAUGAACUGUUCCACUUUUCAUUUGACUAGGAUUCUUUAAAAGGACUGUAUUUUAGACUAGGUACAGCAUGGUCCCUGUAUCUAAGUACUGAAUGGAGUUUUCAUUCUAGACCAUGAUAACAUAUUUGCAGGAAUGGAUGUAAUUGUAUCAGUCAAAUAAUCUUAUUUUUCUAACACAGAAACAUUAUAAGGAAACGUGUGAUUUAAAACGGAAAUUCUGAGAUCAUACGGUGGUUUGGUAUAUUCAAAACAGAAGCAUAUGUUGUUAAACUCAUUCGAAUUGUCACGUUCUGACCAUAGUUCUUUUGUGUUUUCUUUGUUUUAGUGUUGGUCAGGACGUGAGCUGAGUG